rnacentral:rRNA from 1 species
UACGUAGGGUGCAAGCGUUAAUCGGAAUUACUGGGCGUAAAGCGUGCGCAGGCGGUUUUGUAAGUCUGACGUGAAAUCCCCGGGCUCAACCUGGGAAUUGCGUUGGAGACUGCAAGGCUAGAAUCUGGCAGAGGGGGGUAGAAUUCCACGUGUGGCAGUGAAAUGCGUAGAGAUGUGGAGGAACACCGAUGGCGAAGGCAGCCCCCUGGGUCAAGAUUGACGCUCAUGCACGAAAGCGUGGGGAGCAAACAGG